AGUAUCUGGCUACGAACCAGGGGGUCGGGAGUUCGAAUCUCUCCGGGCGCA
rnacentral:tRNA from 1 species